AAGUGUACCCGAAUCUGAUAUCC
rnacentral:miRNA from 1 species